GUCAUCAUGGCCCUUACGACCAGGGCUACACACGUGCUACAAUGGCGCAUACAAAGAGAAGCGACCUCGCGAGAGCAAGCGGACCUCAUAAAGUGCGUCGUAGUCCGGAUUGGAGUCUGCAACUCGACUCCAUGAAGUCGGAAUCGCUAGUAAUCGUGGAUCAGAAUGCCACGGUGAAUACGUUCCCGGGCCUUGUACACACCGCCCGUCACACCAUGGGAGUGGGUUGCAAAAGAAGUAGGUAGCUUAACCUUCGGGAGGGCGCUUACCACUUUGUGAUUCAUGACUGGGGUGAAGUCGUAACAAGGUAACCGUAGGGGAACCUGC
rnacentral:rRNA from 2 species